AGUCCAACACUCAUCACUAUGGCAAGCACCACAACGGUUGAAGCAGGUAAAAGUAUUGAAGAGGAAAGUACCUUCACACGUUUUGCCAUCUCCGGUGAAGCCAGCCGGACAAUGGCAGCCAGACAGAUCAUUGUCCUUGCACGCUGAGAACUUGACUCCAUUCUUGUGUUGCGACCAGCAGCCUCCAUCGUUCACUGAGCACCUCCCUGGCCCAACAGCUGCAGACGGAUCAAUAUUCAGAUUCACGCAGACCUCAACUAGUCUGAAGGCUGUUAUGUUAGAUUCAUUGUCGCGCCAACACCCUCCGUUAUUCUCAAGGCACUGUCUCUGUAAAAACCUCCGCUCAGGCAAAUAGGAGGCUCCGUCGUCUCCUUAAACCCUGCACAUAUGGCUUUCAGCACUGCGUUCCUCUCCAACUUCCCUUCACCCACCAAAACAAUCUCAUUCAGUUAUACAAAGCAUACCUCAAAUCACACAUACAUAAGGACUUCGUUCUCAGUAUCAGCUUCUGGAUCACCCAUGCACUUGUUUAUCUUCUCAACCGGUAUACCUACACCAAGAUCAAUCCCGGGAAAUGAUGUCGUCGGAUUAUGUUGAUCGAGACAUAAAUGGAUAGGGGUUUUGUGAACUUACCAAGUGAUUUCAUGACUUCCUGUGCACAAUCUUUGCUGUACCUGUUGUGCUUCA